UUGCUUUUUAUCAUGCCGGAAGCGGCUAAAUCUGCUCCUGCUCCGAAGAAGGGAUCCAAGAAGGCGGUUACUAAAGCGCAGAAGAAAGAUGGUAAAAAGCGCAAACGCAGCCGCAAAGAGAGUUAUUCCAUCUAUGUGUACAAGGUGCUGAAGCAGGUCCACCCGGACACCGGUAUUUCGUCUAAGGCCAUGGGCAUCAUGAACUCGUUUGUCAACGACAUUUUCGAGCGCAUCGCGGGCGAGGCGUCGCGCCUGGCGCAUUACAACAAGCGGUCGACCAUCACGUCCAGGGAAAUCCAGACGGCCGUGCGCCUCCUGCUGCCCGGGGAGCUGGCCAAGCACGCCGUGUCCGAGGGCACCAAGGCUGUCACCAAGUACACCAGCGCCAAGUAAACAUAUAUAGCAAUCAGAAUAAAAUCUGUGGAAGAAGGAGAGGGAUUGGAAUAGAAGCAGAUGUUGGUAAUUGUUGAAGCUUGUCUGAUGGACACCUGGAGGUACGUUUUCGUGUACUUUUGGGUAUACUUCAAGACCUCCAUAAUCCUUUCCCCGCCUCCCUCCCCCUUACCCUCCUCCCCAAAAAAAGGUUUCAAGAAAGCUGGCCCAAUUAACGAACAUAAUUCUCUUUCAGUCAACAAGGGGUGACAAUGAGAGGAAUCAAGUGCUGGCAAAGAGAAAUUCUGGCGACUGAACUAAGGGAACAAGAAGGCCAUUUGCACAAGGGAGGAGCUCAUAGCAGCAGCCGUCCCCUCCUCCCAUCUCACAGGCUCGACAAUCAAGAAACGCUAUCGCCAUCUUGUGGCCCUUUAAGAAAAUGUAGCUAAUAUUGUUUUGUGGUUUCUACUAGGCAGUCCAUUGCUAGGGUUUAAUAAUUGCAUAUAUAAAUAAUACAAUAAACAAUCCUAUUUCAAACACAGCCCUCAUCUGCCCAGUUCCCCCAUCAAUAACAAAGAACCACAUUUAUUAAUUUCCUGUGUACCCAUCUGGAAUUUCUUUAUACAAACACAAAUAUGUAAGGGUGAAUUCUGUUAUGUCCCCAUUAACAUAAAUGGCCAAUGGCUAUAUUCCUUUCACGGUUCUGUGCCUUGCUUUUCUCAUUAUCUAGCUUGGAACUCUUUCCUAUUAGUAAGUAGAGUGGCUGAAACUUCUCAGCAGGUGCACCUGAGCCAGUGAUCCUAGGAGUGUAACCUGAGGCCAAACCUUUUCCUACACUGGCUGCAUCUUCCCUGAAAAUAAGCCUGAUGCUUAUUUGAGAGGAAGCCUGGGACUCUUCGAUGAGCUGCCCAGGGGCUGAACCUGGUCCGGAAAGCUCUGGGGUGGCUGAAUUCCUGUUCCCUUCCUGAGAUGGGACUUCCAUGCUUUGUAAUAAGGGUCAUUGAGGUCCUAAUGCAAGUAUUCGUCUUGUCAGUGAGGCCGCCUUUGACUGUCAUCUUUAAUAAUUAAGCCAC